GUUGGGUAGGGGAGCGUUCUGUAAGCCUGCGAAGGUGGCCUGUGAGGGUUGCUGGAGGUAUCAGAAGUGCGAAUGCUGACAUAAGUAACGAUAAAGCGGGUGAAAAGCCCGCUCGCCGGAAGACCAAGGGUUCCUGUCCAACGUUAAUCGGGGCAGGGUGAGUCGACCCCUAAGGCGAGGCCGAAAGGCGUAGUCGAUGGGAAACGGGUUAAUAUUCCCGUACUUGGUGUUACUGCGAAGGGGGGACGGAGAAGGCUAUGUUGGCCGGGCGACGGUUGUCCCGGUUUAAGCGUGUAGGUGUGUGUUCCAGGUAAAUCCGGUUCACUUUAACACUGAGGCGUGACGACGAGGCACUACGGUGCUGAAGCAACAAAUGCCCUGCUUCCAGGAAAAGCCUCUAAGCAUCAGGUAACAUCAAAUCGUACCCCAAACCGACACAGGUGGUCAGGUAGAGAAUACCAAGGCGCUUGAGAGAACUCGGGUGAAGGAACUAGGCAAAAUGGUGCCGUAACUUCGGGAGAAGGCACGCUGACACGUAGGUGAAGUGAUUUACUCACGGAGCUGAAGUCAGUCGAAGAUACCAGCUGGCUGCAACUGUUUAUUAAAAACACAGCACUGUGCAAACACGAAAGUGGACGUAUACGGUGUGACGCCUGCCCGGUGCCGGAAGGUUAAUUGAUGGGGUCAGCGCAAGCGAAGCUCCUGAUCGAAGCCCCGGUAAACGGCGGCCGUAACUAUAACGGUCCUAAGGUAGCGAAAUUCCUUGUCGGGUAAGUUCCGACCUGCACGAAUGGCGUAAUGAUGGCCAGGCUGUCUCCACCCGAGACUCAGUGAAAUUGAACUCGCUGUGAAGAUGCAGUGUACCCGCGGCAAGACGGAAAGACCCCGUGAACCUUUACUAUAGCUUGACACUGAACAUUGAGCCUUGAUGUGUAGGAUAGGUGGGAGGCUUUGAAGUGUGGACGCCAGUCUGCAUGGAGCCGACCUUGAAAUACCACCCUUUAAUGUUUGAUGUUCUAACGUGGACCCGUGAUCCGGGUUGCGGACAGUGUCUGGUGGGUAGUUUGACUGGGGCGGUCUCCUCCUAAAGAGUAACGGAGGAGCACGAAGGUUGGCUAAUCCUGGUCGGACAUCAGGAGGUUAGUGCAAUGGCAUAAGCCAGCUUGACUGCGAGCGUGACGGCGCGAGCAGGUGCGAAAGCAGGUCAUAGUGAUCCGGUGGUUCUGAAUGGAAGGGCCAUCGCUCAACGGAUAAAAGGUACUCCGGGGAUAACAGGCUGAUACCGCCCAAGAGUUCAUAUCGACGGCGGUGUUUGGCACCUCGAUGUCGGCUCAUCACAUCCUGGGGCUGAAGUAGGUCCCAAGGGUAUGGCUGUUCGCCAUUUAAAGUGGUACGCGAGCUGGGUUUAGAACGUCGUGAGACAGUUCGGUCCCUAUCUGCCGUGGGCGCUGGAGAACUGAGGGGGGCUGCUCCUAGUACGAGAGGACCGGAGUGGACGCAUCACUGGUGUUCGGGUUGUCAUGCCAAUGGCACUGCCCGGUAGCUAAAUGCGGAAGAGAUAAGUGCUGAAAGCAUCUAAGCACGAAACUUGCCCCGAGAUGAGUUCUCCCUGAGACUUAGAGUCUCCUGAAGGAACGUUGAAGACGACGACGUUGAUAGGCCGGGUGUGUAAGCGCAGCGAUGCGUUGAGCUAACCGGUACUAAUGAACCGUGAGGCUUAACCUUACAACGCCGAAG
rnacentral:rRNA from 1 species